UAGCACUCACAAAAAUUAAUGUGUCUUUUAGAUCUGUGACAAACACAUUCACAUCUGACUUGCUCGAUCCAGCAUCAGACACAUUUAAAAAUCGAACUUCACUGUUAAAGACACAGCUUGAACCCAUUUUCCAAACGGUAUUCCCUUCCUCCUUCAGGUUCAUAGAGGUGGUGUCAUUCAGUAAUGGAUCAAUCAUCAAUAACAUCACCCUUAACUUUCAAAAUACAUUUGUUCUUAAUAACACUGAGUUUGUGAGUGUUUUGCUCAGAGCGGCUUCGAAUAUCACCGGCUUUGACAUUGAGAUCAGCUCCAUCAUUGUGAAUGGCAUACCUUCGAGUGGAGUAAACCACAAGAUCAGUCUCCUCACUGCAUCCAUCAUGGUACUGUUGUCAUGGCUACUGUCAAGCCAGCAAUAGCAUCAGUGCUCCAUUUGAAAUGAACAGAAUAUGACUGCUAUCACUGGCAUGAAAUAGGACUUUUCUUUAACAUACUAUCAGACUGAGUGGACUCGGUGGAUAAGGAAAGUCUGUAGAACUUAGCAUAUUUCUAUGUGGAAAUGAAUGCCCAGAAUCCUGAGCUGAACAGAAUGACACAGCACCUUGUCCACUGACUCUAUUGAGUCAAACCAUAAAAUAACACAUUAUAUUAAGCACUGAAAAGUCAGAAAAUAAGAGCACUGUUAACACUUAAUGUCUUUUAAAUAAAUAUAUUUUUGAAAACUUGAAGCAGGGAUACUGCUGUUACUUUUAACUUAAUUCUGUAGUCCCCAAAUGAUUUAAAAUUCAUGUUUAGGUUUUACCUGAUUGCAUAGCAGCAUAACAUGACAUAGCGACCUAAUAAAUGCCACAGAGAGCAUAUUGUAGCAUUAUAGUGGACUGCACACCCCAAUCGUGAACCAAUGCAUAAAAGGUUUAUCAAGGGUCAUUGCAAACAUGAAGUCCUCACUGCAUCCUUCAUGGUACGCUUGUCAUGGCUACUGUCAAGCCAGCAAUAGCACUGAGUCCGACCAUAAAAUAACACAUUAUCUUAAGCCCAGAGAAGUCAAAAAAUAAGAGCACUAUUGUACUUUUAAUGUCUUUUAAAUCAAUCUAUUUUUUUAAAUAUACAAGUUAAGAUGCUGCAGUUUCUGUCAUCUCCAAAUGUAUUCAAACUUUUUCAUUUUAAAUUUUACUUUCAGCACUGUCAGCUGUCUUAUUGAUACAAAGUAUUCAUGUAAUCACACAUAACUGUAUUCUGUGAGAAUUUGUGUACUUUGUACAAUUUCUGUCAGCAAUGAUCAGAAUACAAAAUCUUUAAACAUUUAUGUUGUGUCUCUUUUGAUUUUAUUCUCUUCUUGUGACAAAGCGAAAGUGUAU